ACUCUUCCUUCCUGUUUGAAAAAUCUCCCUUAUAUUAACUCUUUAGAUUUAUCAUGGAAUGGCUUGAAUGGGAUGAUUCCCUCUUUCAUUUGUUCGCUCACUCACCUUACAUACCUUGAUCUUAGUGUCGACAAAUUCAAUGGAAGCAUUCCUUCCUGCUUGGGCAGUCUUUCUUCUUUAGUUGGGCUUAGUCUUGCUAGCAACCAAUUUAGUGGAAGCAUACCAAAUUCUCUGGGUAAUAUUUCUUCUCUUCAGUUUCCUGAUCUUAGUGGCAAUAAAUUAAGUGGGAGCAUACCGGCUUCUUUGGGUGAUAUAUGUUCUCUUGAGACUCUCGACCUUUACCUGAACCAUUUAAAUGGGAUCAUAUCCACUUCUCUGGGCAAUAUUUCUUCUCUUGAGACUCUUGACCUUUCCCUGAACCAAUUAAGUGGGAGCAUACCAUCUUCUCUAGGUAAUCUUCUUUCUCUUGAGUUUAUAUACCUUAACCAGAAUCAGCUAAGUGGGAGUAUACCGGCUUCUAUAGGUAAUAUCUCUUCUCUAAAGCAUCUGUACCUUUAUGAGAAUCAAUUAAGUGGGAGCAUACCAGCUUCUCUCGGAAAUCUCUCUUUGUUGAGCCAAUUAUACCUUAGAGACAAUAAACUGAGCGGGAACAUUCCAGAAUCCUUGGGCAAUCUCUCUUUACUGGAGUUGCUGAGUCUUAGCAACAACCAAUUAACUGGGACCAUUUCCCCUUCAUUUGCUCAGCUUUCCUCCCUCACUCGCUUCACUGCUGGUGGCAAUCCUUUCAAUGAAACUGUAUCUUCUUCAUCAUUGCCAGCUUCUUUACUUAAACUAUACAUGUCACUGAACCAUCACCAGUCAAUUUCAGAAACCUUCUUUCACAAACUUACAAAACUUAAUUAUUUGUAUUUAGCCAAUUGUGUGCUAAAUAUUAGCACAACCUGGAUUCCAUACUUUCAGUUAAGUGAAAUAAUAUUAGUGUCAUGUAAGAUUGAUGGUGAAAUCCCACCUUGGAUUUCAUCACAGAGCUCGCUUUCUAAACUUGAAUUGGUUAACACCAGUCUUGUUGGAGAGAUUCCCUCUUGGCUAUGGGAAACCAGUCCUCUCUUGCAAUUUGUCAAUCUUUCAAGAAAUCGUUUAGAAGGGAGCCUAUUCUCCAGCUCUUCAGUAUGGAUGCGUCUAGAAAUGCAUUGAGUGGGCACAUGCCAUCAAUUUGGUCUCCUACUAUUGCUGCUCAAUGACAAUUUGUUCAGUGGCAAUAUUUCUUCAGGCUUGGGCAGAUUAUCUCAACUCAAGAUAUUAAAUCUUGCAAACUACUUCUUCAGCGGAGUGAUCCCUCCAAGCUUGUCCAACUGCUCUUCCCUCCGUGUUCUAAAUUUGGGAAACAAUAGUUUGGAGGGAAGCUUACCACAUGAGUUCAGCAAGCUAAGUGAUCUGUUUUCAUUAGUUGUUCAUAGUAAUAACAUAAAACUUCUUUGAAGGUGAAAUACCAACAUUAGUGGAUAUUUCAGAGCUAAGAGUGUUGGUGAUGAAUAACAACAAUUUUAGAGGCUGUAUUCCUUCAGAGAUUGGUCAAUUAAUGAACCUCCAGAUUUUGCUUCUUUCUUCUAAUCAUAUUUUUGGUUCAAUUCCAGACACAGUCGUAUUUUUGCAAUCAAUGGUGAUAGAAAGUCAAGAUGGUUUUGUAUUGUCCACUUCACGACUAUCUUAUGGUUUAGCAUAUCAAGAUGGAUUGGAUAUGACUUCAAAAGGUAGAGAUGAGCACUACCCAUAUAUUCUUCCUACUCUAACAUCCAUAGAUCUCUCAAACAAUGAAUUGGAGGGAGAAGUUGCUUCUAAUAUUGAGAAUUUGAAAGGGUUGAGGCUUUUAAACCUUUCAAUGAACAAUUUGAAUGGGAGCAUUCCAAGUAGUUUGACAAAAAUGAGUCAGCUAGAAUCUUUAGACCUUUCAAGAAAUAAAUUUUCAGGACAAAUCCCUGCAGAUAUUGAAUCUCUAAGUUAUUUGGGCUCUCUAAAUUUAUCAAACAACAAUCUUUCAGGAAAUAUACCACAAGGACAACAUAUAACUGGCACAUUUGGAAAAUCAUCUUACUCAGGCAAUCCAAAUUUAUGGGGAUGUCCCCUACCCAAAAAUUGUUCUUGGCCACAGUUUUCUCCUCCUCCACCAGUUUCAGUUAACAAAGAAAAGAGAAGCACUAAGUAUCCAUGGUAUAAGAUAGCAGUGGUAUUGUCCUAUGGAGUAGCUUCUGGAGGGAUAAUUUCAUUGAUUUUGAUAUGGAAAAGGAAAUACAUCAAUAAAGUUGAUAUUACCUUAAAGUUUUUGUUUCUAUGGAUGAAGAAUUUGACACUAUGAAGAAACAACAACAAUUCAUUAAAAUGCCAAAGGUAUCUGUUUCUGGUUGGGAUUGUUUCUUACUGAAGACAUGUUAGUGUUGUGAGAAACUUAUCGGUCGUGGUCAGUGGUCAUAAAAGCAUUUAUAAUCAUGGUUCUGGGAAAGACCUACCUGCAAUAGAAAGCUCCGGUGCUUCAAUGAAAAAAGGAAAGCUCUGUAAUUUUUAAAAAUUAGCCAUUUCGUCCAUAAAUGUGAAAUCAAGAAUGUGGAACACUUCAUUACCAUUGGCUUUUGUAAUUAAACAAAGACUGAGGAGUUAAUAAUAUGUAAAAUGUUAUAAUUUUGUAUUCAAUGAAAUAGGUAUGAAAUAUUUAUUCCUUCAUUAAAAAGAUCAGAGUUUGGUCUUCUCAGUGUUUUUACAUUGAUGGCUUCCCAUUGCUCAGUGGCUCAUCAUUCUG